UUGCGGGCGUAAGAGAUCUGAAGGGAGCUGUCCUUAGUACGAGAGGACCGGGAUGGACAGACCUCUGGUGCACCAGUUGUCCUGCCAAGGGCACGGCUGGGUAGCUACGUCUGGACGAGAUAAACGCUGAAGGCAUCUAAGCGUGAAACUCCCCCUAAGAUUAGAUCUCUCACUCUUUAUGAGGUAAGGCACGUCGUAGACUAUGACGUUGAUAGGUCGGAGGUGGAAGCACGGCAACGUGUGCAGCUGACCGAUACUAAUCUGCCGAGGGCUUGACCUU
rnacentral:rRNA from 1 species